rnacentral:rRNA from 1 species
GAUGAACGCUAGCGGCAGGCUUAAUACAUGCAAGUCGAGGGGCAGCAUGAGUGUAGCAAUACAUUUGAUGGCGACCGGCACACGGGUGCGGAACACGUACACAACCUUCCUAUAAGUGGGGAAUAGCCCAGAGAAAUUUGGAUUAAUACCCCGUAACAUAAUGAUGUGGCAUCACAUUAUUAUUAUAGCUUCGGCGCUUAUUGAUGGGUGUGCGGCUGAUUAGAUAGGUGGCGGGGUAACGGCCAACCAAGUCUACGAUCAGUAGCUGAUGUGAGGGCAUGAUCAGCCACACGGGCACUGAGACACGGGCCCGACUGCUACGGGAGGCAGCAGUAAGGAAUAUUGGUCAAUGGACGCAAGUCUGAACCAGCCAUGCCGCGUGAAGGAUUAAGGUCCUCUGGAUUGUAAACUUCUUUUAUCUGGGACGAAAAAAGGCGAUUCUUCGUCACUUGACGGUACCAGAUGAAUAAGCACCGGCUAACUCCGUGCCAGCAGCCGCCGUAAGAC